AUGGAUCAUCCAAUAGAACUGGAGGUACAUGACUUUGAUGACGCCCCGAGAAAGCUGUUGGAUCUUAUGCUGCGCUUAGAGUCAAAUAAAGGAGCUAAGUCAUUCUUCUUUGGUGGCUGGCUCGGCUGUGGUGUUGGAGCCUCUGCUGUUCUCAAAGCCACAUCUGAACUCCUGAAAUCUGAAAGAAGUGAUCCUGACAUGACAGAGCAUUUUGACAAAAUUAUCCAUGUAGACUGCUCUAUGUGGAAAAAUAGGAGAACUAUGCAGAGGGCAAUCGCGGAGGAGUUAAACCUUCACCGUUUGAUGCACAUGUUUGAUAAGCAGGAUGAGGAUGAUGAUUUUAGAGGUAUAGACGUGAGCUCUAGAGUGGAGAUACCAAGUAUCGGAAGAGAGAUCAAUGCGUCUCUAAGAAAUGAAAGGUUCCUGCUGAUUUUUCACUAUGGGGGAGAAGAAGAUAUUGAUUUGACAGAGUGUGGCAUUCCUAAUCCUGAUUUUGGAACCUAUGCCUUAGGAUUACUUUUAUGGACCAAUUAUGGAAGAUUUCAGCUCUCGGAGAGAAAAGAGAAGGUAAACUCAAGUCCUUCUUAUUUUAAAACAAUUUAUUUAUGUCCCAAUGAGGAUGACCACUCGGAGCAGCUAUUGUAUCGUUUAUUGCAUGAAGAAGCUACUGAAGUGAUUGGUUAUACUGGCAUGGAUGAUAUCAAACCAUCAAUAGUCUUGGAUUGUUUCUUGUAUUCACUAUUCCUCACAGGGCUACUACAUAAAAAACCUAUCAGUGUUGACUAUGACUGGGAUACACAUGCUUGCAACUACUGGAUAUGUGAUGACAUCCUUCAAGGGGAAAAAUCAUGUGAGGUUGGCAAUGCAUUGUAUGGAGUGAUACAAUUGUUGUGCAAUCCAUCCAAGAAAACAAAAAGAUUGGCAGAACAUUUCGGUCAACGAAGAGAUCUAUUUAAGCGUUGGAUUUCAAUCUCUUCCAACCAACUAGGAGAAAAAGAUAUCUCAGCUGGUCCUGUCAAUGCAUCAUCAUAUUUUGUAACAUUUGGGGGAGAUGGUAAACUACAAAUACCAAAUGGUCUAUUUCAACUAGCCAACAACCUCCGCGUGCUAAAAUUGUGCAAUUGCAGCUUUAAUUUUCCAUCCCCUCCUUUCAUAUGCUGCCACAACCUAAAAUUUCUUUGGCUUGACCAUUGCACAAACACUGGGGAGGAGCAAGGUGGAGCUCCAUGUUUCCCAAACAUGUCGGUGCUUGACAUACGCUUCACAGAUUUUGCCCUGUUGGCCUAUAUGAUAGAGCUAAUGACCAAUCUCAAGGAGGUAAAUACCAUGGGCGUCUCUUGGAGAACUGUAAGUCAUGCAUGGAAAAAGCUACAAAAUCUUCACAAGCUCCGGGUGACCGAAUCCUUAGAUGUGAUCACAGUGGAGACAUGCUCUUCGGUGGAUAUGAUGAAUCUGGAGCUCCUUGACUUGUCAGGUAACAUUCAUAUGGAAUCAUUGCCAGAAAUAUCAUCAGCGGAAAACUUGAAGGUUCUUAUCCUUGAUGGUUGUUCUAGCUUGGAGCAUGUUGCAAUCGAAGGAGCCCCUCCAUCACUCGAGAGUUUUAGCUUUGAUGGUUAUGGCCCGGCAGAGAAAUGGACACAUCCCAUAGAACUGCCAAAAAGGGAACUGCGUCCCAAGUCUUAUCUUUCUAUAGUUCAAGAAGCCAAGGUGAGAAGGAUCUCCCUAAAGGGUUGUGCUCAAUUGCGCAACAUUUUCUUUCGUGCAUUGCCCAAUCUUGAGGAGCUGGACCUCUCUGACACAUCCAUUGAAACUCUUGAUCUCCGUGCAAUGGAUGUCCCACGGCUCAAGAAGCUAUUCUUGCUAGGUUGUGAGCAACUCUGUAGCCUACUUUGGAAUGAAGGAAACCGUUCAUUGAGAGUUCUACAUGUAGACACUCGGGGGAAGACUAGAUCAACGAUCUACCAUGGAGAACAGAUGCCCUCUUCCCUGGAGGAAGUUAUGGCUUUUAUAGAGGGAAGGUUCCUUUUGUCCGCCAUAAUGGGACUCUCUCGGAUUACUUGGCCUGACUCCAAGAUACACAUCCAUAUAUCUUCUAAGAUCCAUAACCGGGUCAACAUCACCAAAAGUAUGGAGGACAUUGGGCCUAUCCAAGAGGGUAUGGUUCCUAUAGGGCUCUUCUUACCUUAUAGUGAUAUUGUCCUUAGCAAGGAUGUUGUCACGCGCUCGUUCUUGGUAUGGGACAGACGACAACUUUAUCCUUUGGGCAUGCAUAUCGAGAUUGGUGAAGGGAGCCACCACUUAGAGAGUAUAAAUGAUAAAGAAUUUCGCGAAGGUUUGACUCAAGUUAAAUCAUUGCAUGUGCAUGACAAUAUAUCAAUCACAGUUAUCCUUCCGGCGGGAUCAAGAUAUUGGAACCAUCUAGAAUGGUGCCAUGUUGAGAGGUGCCCCAAGCUGCACACUUUAUUCCCUUGUUGGGGUAAAUAUAGGGGCUUUGAGUCACUAAGGAUAUUUUCUGCAGUUGAUCUCCCGAUGGUCCAUUGCAUCUGGGAUAGAGUCACUUCAUAUAAGUACUACUACAACUUUGAUAACUUACAACACAUAUACUUGCAUAACUGUCCUAGGCUGGUGUUCGUCCACUAUAUUCGCUUCGCAUUGUAUAAUUUGGAGACCAUUCAGAUUGCGCACUGCCCUAAUCUCCAACAUAUUUUCCCACUGGACGACAAACAUUUCCCUCCAAAGAGAUAUUCUAGUGUCAGAUUCAACAAGCUGAAGCACAUCAAGCUAUACCAUCUGCACAAGCUAGAACAGAUAUGUGAUGCCACAGUUAUGUGGGCUCCGGCGUUGGAGACGGUCAGCCUCAGGGACUGUUGGGGCCUGAGGCGGCUACCAGUGGCAUCACGUUAUGGUCCUAAGCCGGUGGUGGAUUGUGAGAAGGACUGGUGGGACAUGCUCGAAUGGGACAACUUUUGGGAUCAUGACCCGUCGCUCUUCGAAACACGCCACUCGUCCUACUACAAGAAUGCCCUCCCGAGAGUCUCUGUUCUAAGGUAA
rnacentral:rRNA from 1 species